rnacentral:rRNA from 1 species
CUUGGUGGCCUUGGCGCAGCGGUCCCACUCCUUCCCAUUCCGAACAGGACAGUGAAACGCUGCAGCGCCGAUGGUAGUGCGGGAUAGCCCGUGUGAGAGUAGGACGCCGCCAAGC